UACGUAGGUGGCAAGCGUUGUCCGGAUUUACUGGGCGUAAAGAGCGCGCAGGCGGUCGUACAAGUCGCGUGUGAAAGCCCCCGGCUCAACUGGGGAGGGUCACGCGAUACUGUUCGACUCGAAGGCAGGAGAGGGAAGCAGAAUUCCCGGUGUAGUGGUGAAAUGCGUAGAGAUCAUGAGGAAGACCAGUGGCGAAGGCGGGUCUCUGGACAGUUCCUGACACUGAGAGCACGAAGGCCAGGGGAGCAAACGGG
rnacentral:rRNA from 1 species